ACAAUUUUAUUAAUAUAUUUAAUAUGGUUCAUUGGAAAUGGAUGUAAAAUAAAGUAUAAAGGAACUUCUAAUCUUCAUUGUAUUACAGUUGUGAAGUCACAUCCACACUCACUUGAACAAUAUGAAGACUAUUUUAGUAUUUGUUAGUGUAUUAUUAAUAGGAGUGGCAACAAAGCCACAAGAAUUGGAUCCUGGACAAUGUCCUUGCCCCACAGAACCUGAUAUAUGUGGGAGUGACUUUAAAACCCAUGCAGGAUUAUGCAACAUGUAUUGUAGAGCUGCUAUAGAAAAUAAACAAGUUAACAUCUUAUAUAAUGGACCAUGUGAAGAGUUGUUCGAACAUCUGUAUAAUCCAUUCAGAACUUAUGAUUUUAUUUAUGAUCUAAUAAAAAAUAAACUUCGUCAGAAGCAACUAGAAGUAUAGAUACAUUUUUGUAAUGUGUAAUUUAAUAAGUUUUGUAUAUACAUAUCUUUAGUUUAUGUUACUAUAUUUUAACUAGUAUAAAUAGAGUAGUUAUAAUUAUGUAUUAUAUUAUAAUUAAAUAAUAUAAUAAUAAUUAUUAUAUAAAUUUAGAUAAGUUUAGUUUUAUUACUUACCCCAUCAAUGAUCUGGCAAAAAUGCACAGAUACUGUAGCACUAUUCACAUUCGGAAAUUUGCUUGAUGAAUGUAGCAGUACUGAUAUCUUCUUAGAUCUUAUCUUGCUGGCUCGAUAACCAAACACAAAAAGCAUAGAAUCUAUAACAUUGCUUUUUCCACUUCCAUUUGGUCCUAUGAUAGCUGUGAAACUCUGUAAAUUGUAUUAUACAUUAGUAAUUUUAACAAGGAACUAAAUAAACUUUAAUAAAACAUGAUGUUUGUAAAUUUAUCUAGUAAAAAACUAACUUUAGUAAGACACUGUGAAAUAAAAUUCAUAAAAAUUC